CCUACGGGUGGCAGCAGUGAGGAAUAUUGGUCAAUGGGCGCGAGCCUGAACCAGCCAAGUAGCGUGAAGGAUGGCUGCCCUACGGGUUGUAAACUUCUUUUAUAAAGGAAUAAAGUGAGGCACGUGUGCCUUUUUGUAUGUACUUUAUGAAUAAGGAUCGGCUAACUCCGUGCCAGCAGCCGCGGUAAUACGGAGGAUCCGAGCGUUAUUCGGAUUUAUUGGGGUUAAAGGGAGCGUAGAUGGGUUGUUAAGUCAGUUGUGAAAGUUUGCGGCUCAACCGUAAAAUUGCAAUUGAUACUGGCAGUCUUGAGUACAGUUGAGGUAGGCGGAAUUCGUGGUGUAGCGGUGAAAUGCUUAGAUAUCACGAAGAACUCCGAUUGCGAAGGCAGCUUACUAAGCUGCCACUGACAUUGAUGCUCGAAAGCGUGGGGAGCAAACAGGAUUAGAUACCCGAGUAGUC
rnacentral:rRNA from 1 species